rnacentral:sRNA from 1 species
CCUGGGCAUGGCGGUGCACGUCUGUAAUCCCAGCAACUUGGGAGGCUAAGGCAGGAGGAUCACAAGUUGGAGGACAGCCUCAGCAACUCAGUGAAACCCUGUCUGUA